AUCUACCUUUACAUUUAAUAUGUAUACCGUUAUUGCAGUACAUUCACUCUGUUUCCUCCUGUGCUAUUUCUCCGAGUGUCCCUGGUCCCAGAGCUGGAUGCUUCAGAUCUGCGGUUGAUGUUCCACCAGCUGGUCCAGUCUCCACCAUGUCCACUGUGGGAUGCUGCUGCUGACCUUCCUCCAGCCCUCUGCUUCCAACUCCCUUUUUCCACCAGUCAACUCUGCAUUGCCUUCACUAUACUGUUAUGCUAACUUACAUACUGUUUGAAUUUUACUGCUAGCUAUAUAUGGAGUAUGUUUAAUGUCAGAGCCGUACAUCAUAAGAGUAAAUUAUGAGUCAGUUUUCAGUGUCAGCUUAUACUUUGUCUGUGUCACAUAUCCUGUCAUGCAUGUAAGCAAAUGUGUGUUGUGUUUUCCUUGCUUUCCCACCCCUCCCUCUUCUCCCAUCCCUCCCCCUUGCCCUCUUCUGUCCUUCUCAACCCGCCCGGCCAGCAGGCAGAUGGGUCCCCCCUAUAUAGAGCCGGGUUCUGCUCGAGGUUUUUUCCCUGUUAAAAGGGUGUUUUUCCUUGCCACUGUCGCCUUUGGGCUUGCUCUGGGGGUCAGGCAUAUGGGUUCUGUAAAGCGUCUUGAGACGAUUUGACUGUAAUUGACGCUAUAUAAAUAAAAUUGAAUUGAAUUGAA